rnacentral:rRNA from 1 species
ACGAAGGGGGCUAGCGUUGUUCGGAAUUACUGGGCGUAAAGCGCGCGUAGGCGGUGAUCCAUGUCAGAGGUGAAAGCCCGGGGCUCAACUCCGGAAUUGCCUUUGAAACGGGAUCGCUAGAGUCCGAGAGAGGAUGGCGGAAUUCCUAGUGUAGAGGUGAAAUUCGUAGAUAUUAGGAAGAACACCGGUGGCGAAGGCGGCCAUCUGGCUCGGUACUGACGCUCAGGCGCGAAAGCGUGGGGAGCAAACAGGAUUAGAUACCCUGGUAGUCCACGCCGUAAACGAUGAGUGCUAGUUGUUGGGAAGUUUACUUCUCAGUGACGUAGCUAACGCGUUAAGCACUCCGCCUGGGGAGUACGGUCGCAAGAUUA